rnacentral:rRNA from 1 species
AUUGAACGCUGGCGGCAGGCUUAACACAUGCAAGUCGAGCGGAGAGAGGUAGCUUGCUACUGAUCUUAGCGGCGGACGGGUGAGUAAUGCUUAGGAAUCUGCCUAUUAGUGGGGGACAACAUUUCGAAAGGAAUGCUAAUACCGCAUACGUCCUACGGGAGAAAGCAGGGGAUCUUCGGACCUUGCGCUAAUAGAUGAGCCUAAGUCGGAUUAGCUAGUUGGUGGGGUAAAGGCCUACCAAGGCGACGAUCUGUAGCGGGUCUGAGAGGAUGAUCCGCCACACUGGGACUGGAACACGGCCCAGACUCCUACGGGAGGCAGCAGUGGGGAAUAUUGGACAAUGGGCGGAAGCCUGAUCCAGCCAUGCCGCGUGUGUGAAGAAGGCCUUAUGGUUGUAAAGCACUUUAAGCGAGGAGGAGGCUACUUUAGUUAAUACCUAGAGAUAGUGGACGUUACUCGCAGAAUAAGCACCGGCUAACUCUGUGCCAGCCGCCGCAGUAAAAC